UUUUUUUUAAUAAUUUUUCAUAUAAUAAAAAAUAGGGUUAAAUAUGUUUUUCGUCCCCCAACUAUUGGUCGUUUUUGUGUUUAGUCCAUCUUUCAAACUAUAGUACAAUUUAGUCCUUCAACUUUAGAAAACUCUGGUUUUAGUCAUUUUUACCAAAUUUUGUUAACUUUAUUUGUUGUUUCAAACGCGUUUCUCAGUUAACAUUGAAG
rnacentral:lncRNA from 1 species